GUGCCAGCAGCCGCGGUAAUACGGAGGAUGCAAGCGUUAUCCGGAAUUAUUGGGCGUAAAGCGUCCGCAGGUGGUUGGACAAGUCUGCUGUCAAAGCGCGGGGCUUAACUCCGUAAAGGCAGUGGAAACUGUACAACUAGAGUACGGUAGGGGUAGAGGGAAUUCCCAGUGUAGCGGUGAAAUGCGUAGAUAUUGGGAAGAACACCGGUGGCGAAAGCGCUCUACUGGACCGUAACUGACACUCAUGGACGAAAGCUAGGGGAGCGAAAGGGAUUAGAUACCCCAGUAGUCC
rnacentral:rRNA from 1 species